UUGGUACACAUUGUAUAUUUGAAGAACUAUAUUCCCAUAGGGAUAUAGUUAGCGAUAUAAAUCCGAACUUAACUCUUAAGAGUAUAUAAAUUUCGGUACCCGACAUCUUAUAGUUAUUAUAUUAUUUUAAUAUAUUGUCGCGGAUCGAUUAUCGAUAGUUUAGUAUUAAGUAUUAUUAUUGAAAUCUGGUAUUGUGCCCUCAUGAAGAGAUUGGGCACACUAGGUAGAUAAUUGGUGAAUUUGGUGGUGAAUUUGUCGUCGAAAGCCAUGGAGUGUGGGAGGUUAUACUGCGAAUAAAACAUACAUAUAUACACGGAGCUACAUUGGUGUUUUAAGGCGGGUUGCCCCAUCG